rnacentral:lncRNA from 1 species
AUGGAUCCAAGGCGAUCUCAUGACUUGUAUCCCAGUAAUGGGAUAAAAAAUACAACAAAAAAUGAAAAGAAUUUUGCUGUGUCUAACAUGAAUAACCAGACUAGAUUAAAUCUAAGAAACGGGUCAGUAGCUCCCACCAGAAGCUUCAGUGACUGCUUGGGCUACCCACUCCGCUGCCUACAUGGAUUUGAACGCAGGAUGUGAGAUUGGAUGGAACUUUGGGCAACCUGAUCUAGUGGAAGGUAUCCCUGUUCAUGGCAGGGAGGUUGGAAUGGAAUGACUUCUGUGUGGAUGCUUUCAAUCAUGUGAGUAGCAUAAAUAUUUGCUUUCUGUAUCAUUAACUUCUGUACUAUAAAUGAAGUAUUUUCAUUAAUUCAUUCUGUACUACAGUGGAAGUGAUUUUAUUUAAAUCAUUUUCUAUACCACCUUUUAUAAGUUCCUUCAUAGUUGCACUUAUCUAAACUACAGACCUAGUUCUCACAGAUUUUAUUAUAGUAUUACUCUGAAUGGUUUAAAGUUUAGGAAAACCAAAACUAGGUGUUAUCUAUAAGAGCUUGAAAAACUAGGUAUUAUCUAUAAGAGCUUGCACAUGAUUGCAUCCUUUUCACAAAGCAGUUCAGCUUCAGUCAUUUACUAUUUUUCCUCUUAACUGCAGAGAUAAUAUUGUUCCAGUAAAUUUGUGUGUUAAAACUGGGAGUAUGGACUCAGCCAGACAGUUUUUCAUUUUAGAGUAUUGGUAAUCACUGAAAUGGCUAUUCAGCUAAGUGGUUAUUUCAGUUAAUAAGGCAGAAAUUUAAAACUGAUUUCUCAUAUGAUCCAUCUGUAGGUAGCUCUUCCCUUAGGUUUCUGCAAUUUCACAUUAGUUAAUGAAAUACUAAUACAGUUGUAAAAUGAUAUGACUUAUUUGCUGUGUGAAGCUUCAGUUUCUUCUUUCGAAACAAUGGGGGAAAUGAUUACAGAGAACUUCAGAAUAUAUAUUUAAGCAGUAGUAAGUCAGUAGCAAGUGGCUUAGUUUUAAGAAAUACUGGGGUGGCUUCUUUAGUCACAUUCCCUUACAGAAGUUUCUUGUGGCUACGUGCUGCUAGCUGCAGAACUAAAUUUUCAGAAAUCAGUCCAAUAGUUUUAAUCUCUACAGUUGGCUGUCUGUAUCCACAAGGAACUUGUGUAUGUAAACACAAGAAAAAACUUAAAUUCUGAGGAUAAUUUCAAAUUAAACAAUAACUGGAUUGGAAAGGAUUGGAAAGGAAUGUUGCUCUGUACAGUAAUUUGUUCAUAAUCUCAGUAUUAUAGGGAGUGCUUACCAUUGGACUAGCUGUAAUAGGAUAAGAAGUACAGUAGCCAUUAGAACAAUUUUGCGCGUUCAUAAGAAGUUACUUUUUUUCCUCCUGGAUCUCAGCCUGAUUUACAGAUAUUAGGCCAAAGUAAAAGUAUCUCAGACUUGUAUCCAGUCNAAACUGGGAGCAACCUGCACACCCAAUGUGUGGAUGUGAAUUCUCUCCCUAUUCCUACUUCCGAUGUCUUUUUUUGCUAUUGGAAAUGCUUUAGUUUUAAUAGCAUUGCCUAUAUCCUCAGUUUCCUGGUACGUGAAACAACUAGUUUAUGUCUAGCAUAUGAUCUCCAGUCUUCAAAACAACUUGUCUUUGUUCCUGGUGACUUUGCUCCAGCCUGUUUCUUUCAGAAUUGAUGAUCUAUCUUUAAUGGCAUCAUUAACAAGCCAAAUCUAUUGUUGCCUAAAAACUUCAAAGGCUACAACUCAC